AACGAACGCUGGCGGCAUGCCUAACACAUGCAAGUCGAACGAGACCUUCGGGUCUAGUGGCGCACGGGUGCGUAACGCGUGGGAACCUGCCCUUAGGUUCGGAAUAACUCCCCGAAAGGGGUGCUAAUACCGGAUAAUGUCUUCGGACCAAAGAUUUAUCGCCUUUGGAUGGGCCCGCGUUGGAUUAGCUAGUUGGUAGGGUAAAAGCCUACCAAGGCGACGAUCCAUAGCUGGUCUGAGAGGAUGAUCAGCUACACUGGGACUGAGACACGGCCCAGACUCCUACGGGAGGUAGCAGUGGGGAAUAUUGGACAAUGGGCGAAAGCCUGAUCCAGCAAUGCCGCGUGAGUGAUGAAGGCCUUAGGGUUGUAAAGCUCUUUUACCCGGGAUGAUAAUGACAGUACCGGGAGAAUAAGCUCCGGCUAACUCCGUG
rnacentral:rRNA from 1 species